rnacentral:rRNA from 1 species
CACGUAGGGCGCAAGCGUUGUCCGGAAUUAUUGGGCGUAAAGAGCUCGUAGGCGGUCUGUUACGUCUGCUGUGAAAACCCAGGGCUUAACCCUGGGCUUGCAGUGGAUACGGGCAGACUAGAGGCAGGUAGGGGAGAAUGGAAUUCCCGGUGUAGCGGUGAAAUGCGCAGAUAUCGGGAGGAACACCGGUGGCGAAGGCGGUUCUCUGGGCCGUGACCUGACGCUGAGGAGCGAAAGCGUG